GCCCACGUGGCUCAGGGGCUGAGCGCGACCUGUGACCCCGGAGGUCCGGGUUCGAUUCCCGGUCAGGGCA
rnacentral:tRNA from 1 species